rnacentral:pre_miRNA from 1 species
CAGAUACUCCCUUCGUCCGAAAAUACUUGUCAUCAAAAUAGAUAAAAAGAGAUGUACCUAGAACUAAUAUACAUAUAGAUACAUUCCCUUUUAUUUAUUUUGAUGACAAGUAUUUUCGGACGGAGGUAGUAUGUG